rnacentral:rRNA from 1 species
GAUGAACGCUGGCGGCGUGCCUAAUACAUGCAAGUCGAGCGAACGGACGAGAAGCUUGCUUCUCUGAUGUUAGCGGCGGACGGGUGAGUAACACGUGGAUAACCUACCUAUAAGACUGGGAUAACUUCGGGAAACCGGAGCUAAUACCGGAUGAUAUUUUGAACCGCAUGGUUCAAAAGUGAAAGACGGUCUUGCUGUCACUUAUAGAUGGAUCCGCGCUGCAUUAGCUAGUUGGUAAGGUAACGGCUUACCAAGGCAACGAUGCAUAGCCGACCUGAGAGGGUGAUCGGCCACACUGGAACUGAGACACGGUCCAGACUCCUACGGGAGGCAGCAGUAGGGAAUCUUCCGCAAUGGGCGAAAGCCUGACGGAGCAACGCCGCGUGAGUGAUGAAGGUCUUCGGAUCGUANAACUCUGUUAUUAGGGAAGAACAUAUGUGUAAGUAACUGUGCACAUCUUGACGGUACCUAAUCAGAAAGCCACGGCUAACUACGUGCCAGCAGCCGCGGUAAUACGUAGGUGGCAAGCGUUAUCCGGAAUUAUUGGGCGUAAAGCGCGCGUAGCGGUUUUUUAAGUCUGAUGUGAAAGCCCACGGCUCAACCGUGGAGGGUCAUUGGAAACUGGAAAACUUGAGUGCAGAAGAGGAAAGUGGAAUUCCAUGUGUAGCGGUGAAAUGCGCAGAGAUAUGGAGGAACACCAGUGGCGAAGGCGACUUUCUGGUCUGUAACUGACGCUGAUGUGCGAAAGCGUGGGGAUCAAACAGGAUUAGAUACCCUGGUAGUCCACGCCGUAAACGAUGAGUGCUAAGUGUUAGGGGGUUUCCGCCCCUUAGUGCUGCAGCUAACGCAUUAAGCACUCCGCCUGGGGAGUACGACCGCAAGGUUGAAACUCAAAGGAAUUGACGGGGACCCGCACAAGCGGUGGAGCAUGUGGUUUAAUUCGAAGCAACGCGGAGAACCUUACCAAAUCUUGACAUCCUUUGACGACUCUAGAGAUAGAGCCUUCCCCUUCGGGGGACAAAGUGACAGGUGGUGCAUGGUUGUCGUCAGCUCGUGUCGUGAGAUGUUGGGUUAAGUCCCGCAACGAGCGCAACCCUUAAGCUUAGUUGCCAUCAUUAAGUUGGGCACUCUAAGUUGACUGCCGGUGACAAACCGGAGGAAGGUGGGGAUGACGUCAAAUCAUCAUGCCCCUUAUGAUUUGGGCUACACACGUGCUACAAUGGACAAUACAAAGGGCAGCGAAACCGCGAGGUCAAGCAAAUCCCAUAAAGUUGUUCUCAGUUCGGAUUGUAGUCUGCAACUCGACUACAUGAAGCUGGAAUCGCUAGUAAUCGUAGAUCAGCAUGCUACGGUGAAUACGUUCCCGGGUCU